rnacentral:misc_RNA from 1 species
UAAAUAAAUAAAUAAAAUAAAAACACCUGAAAGUAAAAAAAUUUCAAAUUUUCGUUCAUUAAGCAGCCGAAAAACCCAGAAUCAAAAGUAACCCAAAUACCCAUAAGUCUCCGAGAUGGUUAAAAAGAAUAUGCGAAUCGAUGAUUACUACUAAGAGAUGAAGAAGACACUGAGUUGAAUAAAGAAAAAAGAAAAUUCAUUAGAAAGUUAGGGUUUUAGAUUGCAAUAGAUAAAAAUCCAAAUUUGAAGUUCUACUUUACCUCUCUCUCUCUAUAUAUAAAAAU